AGUUAGUAUAACAAGUGUAUUGAUUCCCAAAGUUCAGUUCCUUGAACGUGUGUGUGUGUAUAUCGAUUCCCAAAGUUCAGUUCUUUGAAUGUGUGCGAAUAUG